AUUGAACGCUGGCGGCAGGCCUAACACAUGCAAGUCGAGCGAGCGGAGAACGGGUGAGUGAUGUAUGGUGAACUGCGCGAUUGAGGGGGAUAACUGCUGGGGACAGUAGCUAAUACCGCAUACUAUCGGAUGAGCCCAUAUGGGAUUAGCUAGUAGGUGGGGUAACGGCUGACCUAGGCGACGAUGACUAGCUGGUCUGAGAGGAUGAUCGGCCACAUUGGGACUGAGACACGGCCCAGACUCCUACGGGAGGCAGCAGUGGGGAAUAUUGCACAAUGGGCGCAAGUCUGAUGCAGCAAUGCCGCGUGUAUGAAGAAGGCUUUAGGGUUGUAAAGCACUUUCAUCGGUGAGGCGUUACCCGAAGAAGAAGCAACGGCUAACUCCGUGCCAGCAGCCGCGGUAAUUC
rnacentral:rRNA from 1 species